GCCUGGCUAACUCAGUAGGGCAUGCGACUCUUGAUCGCAGGGUUGUGAGUUGGAGCCCCACGUUGGGCA
rnacentral:tRNA from 1 species